CGAAAGCCUGACGGAGCAAGACCGCGUGGGGGAGGAAGGCUCUAGGGUUGUAAACCCCUUUUCUUUGGGAAGAACAAAAUGACGGUACCAAAGGAAUCAGCCUCGGCUAACUCCGUGCCAGCAGCCGCGGUAAUACGGAGGAGGCAAGCGUUAUCCGGAAUUAUUGGGCGUAAAGCGUCCGCAGGUGGCGAUUCAAGUCUGCUGUCAAAGCACGGGGCUUAACUCCGUAAAGGCAGUGGAAACUACAUAGCUAGAGUUCGGUAGGGGCAAAGGGAAUUCCCGGUGUAGCGGUGAAAUGCGUAGAGAUCGGGAAGAACAUCGGUGGCGAAAGCGCUUUGCUAGACCGAAACUGACACUCAGGGACGAAAGCUAGGGGAGCG
rnacentral:rRNA from 1 species